UACAGAGGGGGCAAGCGUUGUUCGGAAUUACUGGGCGUAAAGGGCGCGUAGGCGGCCUUCUAAGUCGAACGUGAAAUCCCCGGGCUCAACCCGGGAACUGCGUCCGAUACCUGGAAGGCUUGAAUCCGGGAGAGGGAGUGCGGAAUUCCAGGUGUAGCGGUGAAAGUGCGUAGAUAUCUGGAGGAAUACCGGUGGCGAAGGCGGCAUCCUGGACUAA
rnacentral:rRNA from 1 species